GGUAACAUUUUUUGUAACACUUUAAUGUUAGAUAACACUUUAUAGUAACACUUUAAUAUUAGGUAGUACUUGGUUGUAACACUUCAAUAUAUACUAGGUAGAAAUUGGUUGUAAAACAUAAUUUGAUAAUUUUUUUUUUAUUAAAAGACCCUCACAGUUUUACAAGUCAUAACUUGCUCUCUUCCUCCCUCGUAUUUAUCGGUUUCUCCAUUAAGCUUUUACUUUCUCUUAAAUUUGCACCUCGACACCUCCUUUUCACUGCUACCCCCUUUUUGUUCUCAGUGCUCCUCUGUAGCCCCCGUCCACCGCAGCCUCCUUCGCAACCUGUGCUCUAACCCAAAGACGUAUGCAACACUCUGUGGUCCUAGUUGAAGAGAUAGCGAUGAUUGCCACCUCCAAAGACAGCGAUUGGCCCCAUCUGGCUUCCAUUUUCAAUGGCUUCCACCUUAAAGUUUGGGUCAGGGACAUUGAUGAAUGAAACUUAAUGCAAGCAAAUCCAUAUUAGUUAGUUACAAGAGUGGAGUAGGCAAGACAGAGGCUGCAAAUAUGAUUAUGCAAUAGCUUAUCUUUUUGGUUGGUUCAUCGUGCCCUUACUUACAGUGGAUUGUUGAGAAAUAAAUUUUGGAGGUAAGAGUUUAAAUGUGGAUAAUUGUUCUGUCUUCAUGCCAUUAAUGUGUAAUCACCUCUCACAGUUGAAUUCGUAAUAAAAACUUUUAUGAUCAAGGAAAGUAGAAAAUAGCAUUUAGUUUAACUAAUUCAAACAAAGAUGACUCCAUACUUAAAUUACCCCACACCCCCUCCCUUUGAAUAUAGAGAGCAUCACUUACUUGUUUGUUGUAUAUAUGUUUAUGACAGGUAAGUACUUCUAGAAAUUGUGAAUUUUAUAGUCUAAUUAUAGUUCCAUGCUUGUCCAGUUGUCCUGGUGUGAGGAAUCUUUUACCUUAUAACUCCAAAUUGAUUGUAUAGUGGUUGCAUACAUACCCUGAAUUGUACUUAUUCUUUAUAUAGCUCGUUUUCUUUCAAACCUAAACUGUCUUAUAUUUUGAGCUUUAUGAAUCAUGCUUUUCAUUCUAGAAUUUCCCAUUGUCUGCUUUUUUCUUUUGGUCAAGGGUUUGGAUGGACUAUGGGCUAGUGAGAAUGUUUGAAACGGUGAGUAAAAGAAAUUGAUUAUAUUUUCCAAGUUUUAAUUUUGUGAGUGUUAAGAUGAUUAUUUGGCUAAUUUUUUGCAAUUCACUCUUUUUUUUUUUCUUCUGGAUUUUGCGUGAUUUUAUAUUUGGAUUUAAAGUGUUAGAUAAGUUUAGCUUCUACUUCAGUCAGAAAACUCUGUUUUAAUACUCUAUUUAUCUCUUUCUCCUAGCUACAUUAUCAAUUACUUCUAGUCAAGCUCUCGGUUGUACAAGCUAAGGACUAGCAAAUUAGCACGAUAGUCUACUUUAUUGUGAAGUGGUACUUAUAAGAGUUAUGCAAUGACUAAAGUUUGAAUGAGUAUUUAAGAUAUGCAUUAAUUUAGUGCUCGCAAGGCAUGUGAUUUAUCUAAAUCUCACUAUAUUAGUGUGUCUUUCCUGUUCAUCUUAGUUAUAAGAGCCGCAUUUUAGUUUUGUCCAUAUAAUCAUCAUGUGUAAUAGUACUCUAGAUAGUAGCUAAAUCAUAUAGGAUCACUGUGAUGUUGCUAGUUGUUAGAGUUAUUGUGGACCCAUGAGUCAAUAGGUGUCACUAUGUUAGUGAUACGUUAGGCAUUUAUCUUGAACUCGUAGCCAUCUAUAAUUAGUAUGCCACUAAUCAUUAAAAUCUUAUCAUGCUAAACACAUAGACACUUUUAUGGCAUGGUAUAAAACAAAAGAGUGCAUCUAAGCCAAAACCACGUAGAAUGCAUAUUUCAGCUCUUUUGUAUAAUGUUCACCUGAGCUGAGAGCCUUAGGGUGUACGAGCAUGUGAAAAGAAAUGAGCAUCUCAAUAAUGUUGGCUGAGCUAAGAGCCUGAGGUUCGUGUCCCUCUCAAAAGUACAUUUCAUUUACUACUAGACUAUUAGUUUAUACUUUUUAAAAUUCUAAUUAUAUUUACUAAUUCUCAUCCAUGUAUGAGCAGGGGAGUGAGAUACCAUGAGUUAGAGCAUUGGAAGUUCAAAAAUGAUGGAAAGAAAUACUUUCGUUAUGCUAUAGAGCCCAAAAAAAACAUGUUUGCAUGUAUGUAGAUGCUAAUGUUACUGUUAUUGCUGCUAUUGGUACUGACGUCUAAUGCUGUUAUUGAUGCUUGUUGCUACUGAUGUUUGUUGCUACUACUACCUGUUGGCCUCGUACUGCUGAUUAAUGUUAUUGCAAGUUGCUGCUA